GUGGGGAAUCUUCCGCAAUGGACGAAAGUCUGACGGAGCAACGCCGCGUGAGUGAAGAAGGUUUUCGGAUCGUAAAGCUCUUUCGUUAGGGACGAACGUGCUCUUUGUGAAUAAUGAGGAGUAAUGACGGUACCUAAAUAAGAAGCCACGGCUAACUACGUGCCAGCAGCCGCGGUAAUACGUAGGUGGCAAGCGUUUUCCGGUAUUAUUGGGCGUAAAGCGCGCGCAGGCGGGAUAUCAAGUCUGUCUUAAAAGUGCGAGGCUCAACCUCGUGAGGGGACGGAAACUGGUAUUCUUGAGUGUCGGAGAGGAAAGUGGAAUUCCAAGUGUAGCGGUGAAAUGCGUAGAGAUUUGGAAGAACACCAGUGGCGAAGGCGACUUUCUGGACGAUGUCUGACGCUGAGGCGCGAAAGCUAGGGGAGCGAACGGGAUUAGAAACCCGGGUAGUCC
rnacentral:rRNA from 1 species